rnacentral:lncRNA from 1 species
UUUUAAUAUAAGAAAGUGAGUGCUUUCCUCUUUUUAGACAUAUAUAAUGAAAAAAAAAGUAUCAUAUAUACUCAUAUAUAAGCUGAGGAUUUUUUUGGAAAAAAUUUUUUUGAAGAAGGAAGUCGGCUUAUACAUGGGGCAGUCGAAAUUUGGAAAUUUUUCACAGGAUCACAAGAUUCACAGAUUCACUUGCAACAUUUCCAUGAUGCCUUCAUGCCAGCCAUGCAAUUCUUCAUAUUUAUUCCUAAUAAUGAUUAUUAUCAUCAUCAUCUUACUGAUUUAUUUUUAUUUUUUUCUGUUGAAGAAUGUAGAUAUGUAUG